GCAAUGGAAAGCUGACUGCCACAGGUUUCUAUGUUACGUCAGGCAGAGAGCUGCAGUUAAAACUUACAAACUCGUGCUGUUAAAAAAAAAUCUAUGGACUUAUUUGGAUUUUCAUGCCUUCUUGGCUGGUCCUUUUGCCCUCCUUUUAUGCCUCUCGGAUGUAGAACCAUGUUAGGACCACAGCAGCACUAAAUGAGAAUCACAACACUGGGUCUUAACUCCAGCUUGGCUGGUCCCGUUGUAGCCUCCCAGAAUCUUGCUUCAUCUCUUCAGUCUGUAGAGACAGCGUUGAAGGUCUUAGGCCUUCCUUCAUCUCAAAAAUAUCAUUACGGGAACUAAUGAGAUCAUAUUCAUAAGAGGAUUUGAUUUCUUCGUCGUGGCAAAACAUCAAAGAAUGAAAAUCCACCCAGCGAUUGUUGCCAUAAUAAUCAUAGUAAACAAUAGGACAUCUAAAGAGAGAAGCAAUUCCCCACUCUUUCUGUAAUUGUGAGAGGCAAGAAGACAGUGAGGACAUGGGAGUCAGCCUGGGUGUGAGUGGCGGGGCACCUGAGUGUCCUUUGAAGGUUAGUACCCCAGAGAAGGCACCAGUUCACUGAUGGAGAAGAUAAAGUGUUAGGAGCUUAUGAUCCUGAGGAUUCCCCGAGAUGCUGAGCAGAUGCAAUGUAGACCCCAAUGGAGUAAGAGGCCCAGACCUUUCUCUGGUGUACAGAGCCUGAGGAAGCCAGUCCACUAGAACCGGAGUUACAGACAACGGCCAGUCACCAUGUCAGUGCUGGGAAUUGAACCUGGGUCCUCUGGAAGAACAGCCAGUGCUUUUAACUGCUGAGCCAUCUCCCUUUCCCUCCACUCUCUCUUUAAAACCUUUUAUUUAGCUUGUUAAAGUGUCAGAAAUAAAGUCUUCCCAUUUAUUGAGA